AUGCCGCGCGGCAGCCUGGACAACCACCUGUUCCGGCGGGGCAGCCAGCCGCCGCUGCCGUGGUCCACGCGCGUGUCCGUCGCCGUCGACGUCGCCCGCGGCCUCGCCUUCCUCCACUCCCGCGACGUCAUCUUCCGGGACCUCAAGUCCUCCAACGUGCUCCUCGGCCUCGACCACCGCGCCAAGCUCUCAGACUUCGGCCUCGCCCGCGCCGGCCUCACCGGCGGCAAGAGCCACAGAGGGUCUGGGCUGCCGAUCGUUUCGCCGGACGCGGGCUUCCUCGUCAAGCUCGUCGGCUACUGCUCCGACUCCGACAGCAACAAGCUGCUGGUGUACGAGUACAUGCCGCGCGGCAGCCUCGAGAACCACCUGUUCCGGCGCGGCAGCCAGCCGCCGCUGCCGUGGUCCACGCGCGUGGCCGUCGCCGUCGACGUCGCCCGGGGGCUCGCCUUCCUCCACUCCCGCGACGUCAUCUUCCGGGACCUCAAGUCCUCCAACGUGCUCCUCGGCCCCGACCACCGCGCCAAGCUCUCCGACUUAGGCCUCGCCCGCGCCGGCCCCACCGGCGGCAAGAGCCACGUCUCCACCCGCGUCGUCGGCACGCGCGGCUACGCCGCGCCGGAGUACGUCGCCACGGGCCACCUCUCCGCCAAGAGCGACGUGUACGGGUUCGGGGUGGUGCUCCUGGAGCUGAUGACCGGGCGGCGCGCGCUGGACGAGGCCCGCGGCGUGGCGUCGGAGCUGCUGGUGGACUGGGCGAUGCCGAUGCUGCAAGGGGAGCGGCGCAAGGUGAUACGGGUCAUGGACACCAGGCUGGGCGGGCAGUACCCCAAGAGGCAGGCCCAGGACAUGGCCGCGCUCGCGCUCCGCUGCCUGCAGAACGACCCCAAGACCCGCCCCUCCAUGGCCGACGACGUCCUCCCCUCCCUCGAGCUCCUGCUGCAGCCAACCACUGCCAAGUCCUCCUCCUCCUCGUCGACGAUGACGUCAUCCAGAUAG
rnacentral:rRNA from 1 species